ensembl:lncRNA
CAGAGAUCCAAAGAUCAGGAGCCGUGACUUUGAAAGCAAAAUGUGGCUUCGAAGACCAAAAACAACCAACAAACUUUUCUGGAUUCAGGAAACAGACACCCUAUUUUAAGAUUUGGCUUAAAGCAUUGUUUUGAUAAAUCAUACAGUUAGGGGAGGAUAAAGUAUAUAGUCUUCCCUUGGUUACACUGCAAUAGAUAUAGACUGAUAGAGGAUUCCCAUGAUGCACUGAGUGUUUCUGCUUCUUCUUUUUUCACUCCCUAUGUGUUUAUACAACUCUCUGCAUUUAACUACUAGUUAAAUGCAGUGAGUCUAGCUCUCUUCCACUGUGCGUCUUUGUCCUGUCUUCAUCCGCUCAUCCCCAACCAGUCCCGACUAUUGGUCGCUCCUCCCUGUGCCCGGUUCUGCUGGAGGUUUCUUCCUGUUAAAAGGGAGUUUUUCCUUCCCACUGUUGCCAAAGAACCUGCUCGUAGGGGUUCAUAUGAUUGUCGAAGUUUUCUCUUAAAAAGUCCUGUCUUCUCAAACUGAAAACAUGUUUAAAUGCCCCUUUUGCAGAUCUUCAAAUGCAUUAAAAUGCAGCAGUACUACUUUAUAAAGACGGUUUGUAGACUGAUAUGCAAACUGAAUUAUUUUCGGUGUAAAUGCCUUCAGCCUGCAGAGCUGCACUUGUAGUGGUCGUGGGUCAGAGCUGAAAGUGGCCAGCAGGGGCGCCAGUCGCCUCAUUCCUCCUCUACCCUGCUGGUAAAGAAAGCGGUGAAGAGCUGAACACGCGCAGUUCGGGCAUGCGCACACUGCUGUUAUGGCUACAGCUGUCGGUUUGUGUCUGACAGCGUGAGAAAUGGUGAGGCUCUCAGAUGGAGGCGGCUGUGUGUGAGGAGGUCCGGGGAGGUCGUGAGGAUGAUGAGGAGGCAGGGGCCGAUGAAGCCAUGCUGUGGUCCGUCCAGGAGGCUCUGGAGAUGCAGACCCUGCAGAUCGGAGCGUCCGCCUGCGGGGCCACGGCUGUGGUGGACGUGCUGAAGGCGCUCGGAGUAGACGUGACCCCGGAGGAAGCUGACCGCUGCGUCCAAACGCGUCUGCGGAGGAACGAGUCACCGUUGCCGGACUACCUGCUGUCCCGCAGUGAAGCUGGUGCGACUCACAUCCAGCUCAUCCAGGGAGCGCAGGAGGCCAGCGGAGGCAAGGUGACGGGCCGAUUCUUCCACCUCCACCCUCGCAGGCGAGUCAGACUAGUCCCCUGGCUCGCCCGUUGGAUCCGAAAAGGCGCAGUUCCCGUGGCGACCAUGAACAUGCAGCUGGCUGUACCCGAGGGCGAGGAGGUGCCCGACGCCUGGCACCACCAGCUCAUAUUUGGGGUCGCAUCCAACGCUGUCUUUAUGACCAAUCCUUUAGAUGUAGUAAGCGAGGGAGAGGUGCACCAGCGACUCUGCAGUGAAUCCGUGUUGCUGAUUCGUCGAGAAGACGUGCUGCAGCGACUGACGCCCGACUGCUCUCUGUCGGGCCUCUCGGAGAGCCAGUCUGACCCACGGUGGAAGGCUCUGGAUGUCGAGGGUCAGGUGAGGCAGAUGGCCACGGAGGAGGAAGAAGAAGAAGAAGAAGAAGAAGAAAUCAAUCGACCCAAGAUGACUCACAUCAGGAUCCCUGCAGCGUACAGCUCAGGUGUCACAUUCUUUGCCAUAAGAGAGUCAGAAUUGGGACAAGAACUCCUCGAUGCUCCUGAACUCCCUCUGCUGUGACCGCACUGCCACAUGUGGAUGGACUUAAAGCUUGAAGAUCUAUUCAUACUAUCAAUAACACCUUGUAUUGAUCCAAAUGUUUAAGAUCAGCAGAUUUAAAUCAAAGCUCAAACUGAACUCUGACUUUCUGUUCAUUUUUCUGUGGAAAUAUUGAUUAGAAAUCACAUUUUAAGAGAUAAACGUGUUUGUAUCAUUGUUUUAAAGACAACAUUAUUAAAAGCCCCCGCCCCCCACCCUGCUCUCAGCCCUUAUUUGCUAACUUUACACAUCUCCAUGUUAACUUCAGGAUUGACUUUCAAAAUUUAUUGAUCGCUUGCGAAAAGCAAUAAAUGGCACCUCUCCAGAGUAUAUUUCAGAGCUGUUAUGUGCUUUUGUGAAGAAGCUUCUAUCAGCAGGUUAAUCUGCCGUGAUUGCUUCCAAAGCCACAUUAAAAGUGAUGGAGUCGCUGCAGUCAGGGUGCUACAAAUCGCUACAGUCGAGAAGGAAAAAACUGUCACACUUGCAUGAAAAGUGGAUUCUUUUGUGUAACUUAUUAUGUUGUGUUUGUUAUCCCAGCUUGAUAUGGCUGUGGUCUUUCCUAAAGUUUUUCAGUGUUUCCUGAAUCAGUUUUUAGAAACUAUGAUCAAAAUUAAAGAAUUUGUUGCAUAAACUAAACAUGAGGAUGAAUGUCAUGGUAAUUUGGGGCUUUUAAGUAUUUAUUUAAACUGUUCUUUUUCCAGAGUGGAAUGAUUGUACAGUAUACAUCUUUAGUAACUUGCACAAGUUUGAAUUUCUUUUGGAUUUUCUCUAAUCCACACGGGCUAACAACAUGCAUAUACCUCCGCUAAUAUUUGGUUAAAUGUCCCUAAGCAAGUUGCACCUCAGCCAGAUGCUUUUGGUAGCCAUCAACAAUCUUCUGGCAUAAUUUUGGGUAAAUUUAUGACCACUCUUUUUGGCAGAAUUGGUAUUGAAUUGAGUUCAGUUAAAGUGGCUUGCUUGUUGGCAAAGCACAGGUUUUAAUCCUUGUCCACAAAUUUUCAGCAGGGUUAAGGACAAGGCUUUGGGAAGACUUUCAGAAGCUUAAUGGUAGUCUGCGUUACCUAUUCAAAAUGCACAUUUCAUGUAUUUGACAUCAUUUACCUGUUGGAAUGCCCACAUUUCAGCCUUCUAGCAGUUCUAGAAGGAAUUGAGCAUAAUUAAUAG